CAAUGUGUGACCCCCACCCCCUCCCCGAGCAGUCGGGGGUGAGUGCACUAACGUGCCCGGAGGUUGCCGUUUUAAUGAGUGUUUGCUGGAAAACGAAAAAUACAAGAAGGAGUCUUCAAGAAGGAUUUGUACGUUUUCACAACGGUGGAGUUUGCUAAACUUUGACCACUUCCAGAUACUGCGGGCCAUCGGGAAAGGGAGCUUUGGAAAGCCACCCUUCACUGACACCAUGAGAUGAGGCUUUGAGGAACACUAGAUGGAUCAACUGAAGGACCAGGUGCAUCUUUCAGGUCCUGUGUCAGGUGUUUGCUGAAGUUUUUUUUACAUGACUUUCAGGUACUGUUCCUCCACUUUAGAUAGAUUUUUCAGGCUGUCCCCUUUUUUUCUGUCUCCUACUUUUAUUACCAGUCCAAAGAAAUCGGAUUAAAUGGUGUGUUUUUGUGACAGGUUGCUAGUAACAAAGUACCUAAAGAUAAAAUUGAAAAUUUGUUCUUUGCUAAGUUGUGUGUUUUGUUUUGUAUUUGACAACUCGGGUUUAUCCCUUGAGUUAGGCUAAGUGGCUUAACAAAAAAACAAAACAACAACAACAACCCAAAACACAAAAAAAACACUCUCAAAGUGAUCAGGUACAAGGACUGGACUGAAAAUGGGUGAAAAAACUUUAAAUGACCUUCAGAAAGUGUAAAGAAAGGUUGCUUAAGAAGAACAUCUGGCUCAGUACAGGCAAAAUAUAAAGAACCGAGGAGAGGCUCAAGACUUAUUCACAGAUAAUCAAUCAAAUGAAUCAAGCGUCAUCUGGAAGCAGCUUCCUGGCUGUAAGAGCGUCUCGUUUUUGUCUCAUUAACUGUCUGGUGGCGCUCACAGUAGUCUGCUGUGACG